CUUGACUACACCCAGCAGCCUUCCAUCACUGAAUUAGAAAUUCAGGUAGUCCAGUGCCUAAGUGCAGUGAGUUGCUUGCAAGUCACCGUGGCGGUCUCAGGUCGGAGGGACAUUUAUACCCAUAUUCCAUCGGAGCAAAUCUUGAUAGUAGAAAUAGCUCCGGAGUCUGUCACGUUCAGUGCAGAUGUACCCUUACAUCUCACCUGUAUGCCAUACCAGUGUCUCCACACUCAUUGGUUAAGAGGACAACCAACCUAUAUGGCACACAACGAUCUAUGCUUGAUAAACAUUGUCAUCCUUGGUAACAACGUAUCAUUUGGUCACGAACAGAUUUAAGGACUAAACGACAAAUCCUCCUUUGUCGAGUCUAAAUAGUCCUAAGGACUUCACCACAACAUAGGAGUUUAUUAGAAGAUGAAACAUUUUAUGAUGAAAAAUAUCAAAAUAAUUUUUAUUAAUUCAUAAUUCAUGUACAUAUACAAAAAUGAACACAACC
rnacentral:lncRNA from 1 species